rnacentral:rRNA from 1 species
AUUGAACGCUGGCGACAUGCCUUACACAUGCAAGUCGAACGGCAGCACGGGUGCUUGCACCUGGUGGCGAGUGGCGAACGGGUGAGUAAUACAUCGGAACAUGUCCUGUAGUGGGGGAUAGCCCGGCGAAAGCCGGAUUAAUACCGCAUACGAUCUACGGAUGACAGCGGGGGACCUUCGGGCCUCGCGCUAUAGGGUUGGCCGAUGGCUGAUUAGCUAGUUGGUGGGGUAAAGGCCUACCAAGGCGACGAUCAGUAGCUGGUCUGAGAGGACGACCAGCCACACUGGGACUGAGACACCGCCCAGACUCCUACGGGAGGCAGCAGUGGGGAAUUUUGGACAAUGGGCGAAAGCCUGAUCCAGCAAUGCCGCGUGUGUGAAGAAGGCCUUCGGGUUGUAAAGCACUUUUGUCCGGAAAGAAAUCCUUGGCCCUAAUACGGUCGGGGGAUGACGGUACCGGAAGAAUAAGCACCGGCUAACUACGUG